rnacentral:siRNA from 1 species
AACGAUCAUGACAGUUGAUGAUUA